AAAGUCGGACACCCAACCGACUGAGCCACCCAGGCGCCCCAAGAGUUUAUUUUUUUAAGUAAUCUCUACACCUAACAUGGGGCUUGAAGUCACAACCCCAAGAUUAAGAGUCAGCAUUCUCUACAGACUAAACCAGCCAGAAACCCCUCCUUUAAAAAAAAAAAAAAGAUUUUAUUUUUUUAAAUGGAUAAUACUCAUUUAAUUAACAGAAAUGUGAUUUGUCCACAGACAAACAGCAAGUAGCAGUGCUGCAGCUGGGGCCCUGAUGAAGUUUGGGGAGAUCUAUGAAUAUCCUGAUUCACAGCCUGUGGUACUUUCCUAGAGUCUUCAGGCACCUGCCCUGCACUGCACCGAGCAUCUCCAGCAUCCUCAACCACGUUAUCACAGUUAAUCACACUGGGGACAGGCCAGCCAAAGCAGCAAGAAGGGAAGAAGGAAAAAGUUUUUUUACCCGUGUAGUUUCGGUGCCUAAUGUGGAGCUCUCCACUGGCUGCAGCCGCUGAGAGGUCCCGGGACCUGUGACAGGAGCCAGCAGAAGGUAAGAAUUCUUACCAUGCCAGUCUUCCAGUUCUUUGCCUGCAGAGUCUGGUAAGUGACCACUCUAGAGUGGUGAGAGUUCUUUCCUUUUUCUAAAUUUAGAUUAGCAGGAGAGAAAAUUUGUGUGAACUAGUUCCUCGGGUAUAGCAACUCUGGUAAAAGUUUGUUAUGAGCACUCUUGUUUUUUAUUGAUGCUUUUUCUCCCAGAGAUGGUCAUUGUUUUCUUUUGUCUCUUUCAUGUCAUUUGUCACAACAAAGAAAACCACAGAGCAGAACACAGGCAUGAGUCCUAUAAGCCUGUUAUUUGAGCCAGCAUCACAGACUGGUGAGUUCACAGCUCUCACCAGACCAGCAUCUGUUUAGACAAGCUUUGCUGGGGGUCACCAGAUAAAGUUUUUCUUUCAUCUUGUUCUAUGUCCUCAGAGCUUGGCUUUGUAACUAGUGAGACUAUUCUGUUUGGUCACUGCCAGCCAGAAGAUACACAUACUAGCUUGCAUUUGGUGGCCAGUUGAAUAUUAGGGUUCUGAGGCACUCAGUUACAAGCAGUACUUUCUCUGUCUGGCCAUGCCAGUUCUUAGGGGAGUUUGUCAUAAGAGCUUCCAGCCCAUAAGGGGCCUUUAUUGUCUGAACCUUUGCUGUCUUGUUAGUGCUGGAAAAGUCUCAUUUUAGUAGCGCUUGUGUAAGUCUGUAGCUGGAGUCAUCUCAUGUUCUCAUGGGAAACUGGAGACACCAUUUUCAUUGCACCAUUCUUACUGCUUGUGACCCCGAGUCUUUGCUUUUUUAGGCUAACUCUGGGGGUGAACUUUCUGGGUCUGAUGAGUGCUGCAUCUUUUGUACUCUCUUUUGGGACGCCUCUUAUGUCUUGUGUGCCAUAAAAUUGUUAUUGAUUUGAGUGACUAUUGAGAUGGGUAUAAGAGCUUACUUGUCAGUGAUGGGUCCUUGGAAUUGGAAAACUUCUGUAUUUGAAAAAAGUUUUAGAGAGCUCUCGUUCUGAAAAAUUGUCCUAUUCGUACCUAUGGAAAUAUCAAAUUAAAAAGUGGAUACAAAGAAGUAUAAUGGUUAGCCUUAGGGACUUCCUUAACAAGAUGGAAGAACAGAAAUUAGACUUAGGAAAAAGUUAAAAUACACAUUCAACAUAAACACCCCUUCUUAAAAUCUAGCUCUAUUUCUUCAGCAAAUUCCCUUAGCUCGCCAAACUCCUCCACCUUCCCCACAAAAUCCCUUUAACACCUGGCUACCUGUUUUAACUUCUCUUCCCCUACAAGAUUUAUAGAGAACACUCCAGCCUAAUCUUUAGGUCCAGGGCAUACAGGUCUCUCAUGUAAAUGCUGAAAGCCAGGAAGUAUAUUUAGCAAAAGCAGCAGGAAGUAAAUUUAGCAGACUUCUUUUGCUGUCCUUUCAAACUGCCCCUGCUUUCCAGGUCUCUAUGAUCAGGCUCUGCCAGGCUCAGGCCUUCCUAUGCAAUAUCCUUUGCAGAUGUAUUUUGGAAUCCUCCAGCCCCACCUGAAGAAUUCAUGUCCUCUGGACAGCAACUGAUCUUUUAAACUAUAAAGCCCUUUUACCUCCACUUUCAGAAGAUACUACCCAAUUUUGAUAGAAAUUAGAUUAGUAGCCAUUUACAACCUCACUCACAAGAGCCUUGAUUAGCUGCAAAGGUGUUCUUUUCACCCUUGAUUGUACUGUAGUUAACAGACAAGUCAGAUGGACCCUGGAGAAAACCCCUCUCAAAGAGGAAACACAUGACCAGAAUUUCUCUCAAGCCCUCCUAGGAAUGAUCAGGAAAUGGAGCAGCUGAAGGCUACUGUUCAGGGGCUGAUAGAAGCAGUAGUUGAACUUUUCCCACUAAGGGGAACUGGUCUAAGUUUGAAUUGUAUGUUGAGAAAGAAGGAGAGCAUCCAAAGGCCUUUGUUGAGCACUUUAUACAGAUUUUUCAAAGGCAUACUGCACUAAAUUCUGAAGCUCUAGAGCAUAGAGAUCUUUUAGUUUCUGCCUUGGUAGGAAAAUUCCUCCCUGAUAUCAAAAAGGCAAACUCAAAACAAUGUGAUUGGGUGGGCUAGUCAACCUCUAAGCAUUAUAAUGGGAGAAGCUAUCCAAUUCUUUGAAGAUAGCCAUCAGGAAAGGAGAAAAAAAAGGAGUUGAAAUGAACAAUUCUUGAUUUGCAAUUUGGAUAUUUAGAGAAAAAAAAAAAAAAACACAACUCUGAGAACAACAAAGUCCACAGAGAGCCUUUCCUAUUUGCCUCCAGACAUUUUCAAAUGUAAAAAAUCAGGUCACUGGAAAUGCAAUUGUCCUGCACUUUAAAAAAAGAAAUUUAGAGUCACCUGGGUGGCAAAUAUUGGGGUAUCCUUGUCUAUUAUCUGAAAUUUAAGGUAAAUACUAUUUAAGUAGGCUUCAUGCCAAGCACAGAGUCCAACAGAGGGUUUGAACUCACAACCCUGA